AUUGGAGUCUGCAACUCGACUCCAUGAAGUCGGAAUCGCUAGUAAUCGUGGAUCAGAAUGCCACGGUGAAUACGUUCCCGGGCCUUGUACACACCGCCCGUCACACCAUGGGAGUGGGUUGCAAAAGAAGUAGGUAGCUUAACCUUCGGGAGAGCGCUUACCACUUUGUGAUUCAUGACUGGGGUGAAGUCGUAACAAGGUAACCGUAGGGGAACCUGCGGUUGGAUCACCUCCUUA
rnacentral:rRNA from 1 species